GUAACAAGGUUUCCGUAGGUGAACCUGCGGAAGGAUCAUUAUCGAGUUUUGAACGGGUUGUAGCUGGCCUCUCACGAGGCAUGUGCACGCCUGGCUCAUCCACUCUUAACCUCUGUGCACUUUAUGUAAGAGAAAAAAAUGGUGGAAGCUUCCAGGAUCUCGCGAGAGGUCUUCGGUUGAACAAGCCAUUUUUCUUUCUUAUGUUUUACUACAAACGCUUCAGUUAUAGAAUGUCAACUGUGUAUAACACAUUUAUAUACAACUUUCAGCAACGGAUCUCUUGGCUCUCGCAUCGAUGAAGAACGCAGCGAAAUGCGAUAAGUAAUGUGAAUUGCAGAAUUCAGUGAAUCAUCGAAUCUUUGAACGCACCUUGCACUCCUUGGUAUUCCGAGGAGUAUGCCUGUUUGAGUCUCAUGGUAUUCUCAACCCCUAAAUUUUUGUAAUGAAGGUUUAGCGGGCUUGGACUUGGAGGUUGUGUCGGCCCUCGCUGGUCGACUCCUCUGAAAUGCAUUAGCGUGAAUCUUACGGAUCGCCUUCAGUGUGAUAAUUAUCUGCGCUGUGGUGUUGAAGUAUUUAUGGUGUUCAUGCUUCGAACCGUCUCCUUGCCGAGACAAUCAUUUGACAAUCUGAGCUCAAAUCAGGUAGGACUACCCGCUGAACUUAAGCAUAUCAAUAAGCCGGAGG
rnacentral:rRNA from 1 species